rnacentral:sRNA from 1 species
AGGUAUGGAUCUUUUGCUAACUUCGCAAACGUCCUGUUUGCAACGCAAAAGUCAACGCAUCCUGCGUA